ACGGGUUUAUUUCCAAUGGUAGAAUGUUGGUCUCCAAAACCGAAGGUGCGGGUUCGGAUCCUGCAGCCCGUG
rnacentral:tRNA from 1 species